rnacentral:tRNA from 1 species
GGUGAGAUGGCUCAGUGGUUUAAGAGCACUGGCUGUUUUUCCAGAGGUCCUGAGUUCAAUUCUCAGCACCC